CUCUCUCUUCUUCUUUCUCCUCUUCCCUCAUUUCAUCCCCUCCAUUCUCGAUCUCCUUCAUUUCUCUCUCCUCCUUUAUUUCUCAUGGCGAAUUUUUGUAUUUACAACAUGAAUUCCUUCUUUUCGAGCUCCUCUUCCUCGGCCCACAAAAAUGGUGAGUCCUUUUUUUCUUUCUUUUCGAUCUCCUCUACCGCCCGCAACACCAACAACGGCCACCGCCCGCAACACCAACAACAGCCACCGCCCACAACACCAACAACAACAACUUCGACAAGCUUUGUUCUCGGUCUCACGAACUUCGGUUUUCACGGUUUUUCAUGUCAAAUUCGACCCUGAAAACUCUAGAUCUAGAGUUUUCAUGGUCGAAUUCGACAAUUAAAACCUAAAUUUUAAGCCAAUUUCAAGGUUUUGGUGGAAUUCAAGUGAAAUUGAUUUUCUAGGGUGAAAAAACGUAAAUCUAAAGCUGAUUUCAAGGAAGGCGGUCAAAGGCUGGUGGCAGUGCGUGCGUGGUGGGCUGGUGGUGGUGGUUGUGAUGGUUAUGGUGGUGGACUGGUGGCGGUGGUGGCAGUGACUUUUUUCUAAAAGUGUUUAUUAGUUUUCUUUUUUGUUGAAUUAUAAUGUAAUUUUUUUUUUUGUGUUGAAUUAUAAUAUAAUUUUUUUUUAGGAAGAAUUAUAAUGUAAUAUUACAAAUAAUUAUGGAAAUAUAUAUUUUUAUACAUAUGUUUUAUUUUUGUGUAUCAAUUUCUGUGAAAAAAAUUAAAACUUUUUUUUCUAAAAAAAUUUUUAAGCCAAAACCGUUGCCCUUUCACUACAAAUGGCAAGCGGUUCUAAACCGCGUGCCAUUUAAAAGCCCAAAUGGCAAGCCCCCUAAGGGCAUGCGUUUCAAAACCGCUUCCCAUUAGGGGGUUUGAACCGCUUGUCAUUAUGUUUUUUCUACUAGUGUAUGUUCAUUGAUAAAAAAAUGCAGAAAAUCAAAUGAAAUUCAUACACAAAUGAAAUUGAUCGAAGCUAAAAAAAAUUCAAUUCAUAUGAAUUCAAAAAAUCAGAUAAACAACCAAUUCCAUAUUGUAAGUAACAUAUUCAAUCGUUAAAUAAAAAAUAACGAGAAAAAAUAGAAAAAAAACAGAGGAAAAAGGAAUUAAAGAAGGAAGGAGAAAAAAUAGAGUAUAACUUGUGAAUUCAAAGAUUCAUAUAUACCUUAAUCAAUCAAAAUUAAAGCACAAAAUCGAAAUUCACACAAAAAUUCAUACUUAAUAACUACUUUCAUGUUGUAAGAAACAAAUUCAAUCAAAAAAGUGUAAAAAAAGGAGGAAAAUU